GGGGUUGUGGCUCAGUGGUAGAGCGCUUGCCUAGUAUGUAUGAGGUCCUGGGUUCCAUCCUCAGCACCACA
rnacentral:tRNA from 1 species